GCAAAGAAUUAAGUGGAAAGGUUACUGAUUAAUUUCGCUUCGUGUGCUUUUCAUUGUGUCAUGUGUUUUAGGCCAUGUAGCACCUGAUUCAAUAUGAAGAUGAACUGGAGGACGCCGGUGUAGUGUUAGUUUCAGUUCAACUUCAUAUCGAACCACAUGACACAAUGAAAAGCACACAAAGCAAAAUUAAACAAUAACCUUUCCACUUACUUCUUUGC